GAAAUGCGAUACGUAGUGUGAAUUGCAGAAUUCCGUGAACCAUCGAAUCUUUGAACGCAUAUUGCGCUCGAGCCCUCGGGCAAGAGCAUGUCUGCCUCAGCGUCGGUUUACACCCUCACCCCUCCCACUUUUGUUGGGUGUGUUGGCUUCUAUGCCAGCCAUAGGGGUGGAUCUGGCUUCCCCAAUUCGCUGUAGCGGAUUGGGUUGGCUGAAGUAUAGAGGCUUAAGCAAGGACCCGAUAUGGGCUUCAACUGGAUAGGUAGCACCGGCUUUCGCCGACUACACGAAGUUGUUGCUUGUGGAUCUUGCUAGAGGCCAAGCAGGAACGUGCCUUUGGCAUGUCUAAACUUUCGACCUGAGCUCAGGCAAGGCUACCCGCUGAACUUAAGC
rnacentral:misc_RNA from 1 species